AUACCCACACCUGAUUCUUAUUCACGGAAGGGAAAAUGGAAACUCUCAGAGAGAGAGGAAGGGGGCAGUCUACAAGCAGCAUAUUCUCCAUCAAAAGAGAGUGAAUCCUGCGUAGAUCCUUCAUCCAACAGAGGCUUUGUUGGGAGCCCAAACUGAAGUGUGUAUCCUCUGUGAUCCCUCAGGUCACGUGUUCUGGGGUACCAGGGGCGCCGCCGUGGCCGUCCCCUCCAGCGUCCGGUUGGCUGGGAGAGGCGGGGGGCUCCAGUCCGGCUGGUAGAAGUGGAUGUCAAAAGUCCGUGCCCAGUUAGCGAAGACCUUCUUCUCUGUGAUGAAGCGGUGAUGGCUGCCCCGCCGCCCACGCUCAUGAGAGAUGUACAUGGCGCACUCAUCCGGACCACGUGGCUCGUAGUAGUGUUUAGGAUAUUCUGCAACUUCUAGAGUAUCCUGACUGGCUCCAUCACGGCCUGUUAUGUCAGUUGCACACUCCCAACCUUGAGGCUCUACAGAGGGUGAAACGUGCUCAGCACAUCACCGGGACGGAGCUGUCAUCCAUGGAGAAUCUCUACUAACCAGCGGUCAAGGAAGGAGGCCAACAGGAUUAUCAGGGACCCCAAUCACCAGCCCAAAACUUCCUCCUGCUGUCUGGCACCACCAGGCUAAGAGACAGCUUCAUCCCACAGGCCAUGAAACUUUUGAGCUCAGUACCUUUAACUUUAUAUUUUUACUUAAUGUUUGUUCAUAUGUAUGUAUCUUCUACUAUUACUUCUCAUUACAUAUACAUUAACUACAUUCAUGUUUACAUAAGUUUAUUCAUGUUGCAAAUUACCCUCUACCACAAAUAUAUACUAUUUUAUAUAUACUCCCUAGAUUAUACUGUAACUUUGCACUAUUUUAUGUCUUUAUGUCCUUUUAUACUAUUUUAAUGAGCAUUGUUGAAGGGAGCCUGAGAUCUAAGAUUUUAAGUACCUGCUUCUCUGUAAUUUGUUGUGCAUAUGACAAUAAUAUGCGUAUAAUAAAGGUGCGUUCGACAUACUAUACUAUGACUUUUUUCAAUACAUUUU